UACGUAGGGAGCAAGCGUUGUUCGGAUUUACUGGGCGUAAAGGGCGCGUAGGCGGCGUUGUAAGUCACUUGUGAAAUCUCUGAGCUUAACUCAGAACGGCCAAGUGAUACUGCAGUGCUAGAGUGCAGAAGGGGCAAUCGGAAUUCUUGGUGUAGCGGUGAAAUGCGUAGAUAUCAAGAGGAAAACCUGAGGUGAAGACGGGUUGCUGGGCUGACACUGACGAUGACAGCGCGAAAGCUAGGGGAGCAAACGGG
rnacentral:rRNA from 1 species